ACCGCUCCGUGGUGUACUAUCAGGUCAAGCAGCCGCGCUGGAUGGAGACCGUCAAGGUGGCCGUGCCCAUUGAAGACAUGCAAAGGAUUCACUUGAGGUUCAUGUUCCGCCAUCGUUCCUCCGUGGAAUCUAAAGACCGAAGCGAGAAGAACUUUGCCAUGUCCUAUGUGAAGCUGAU